rnacentral:lncRNA from 1 species
UUUAAGGAGUCUAACAAAAUACUUAUACAAUUAUGCACAACGUAGUAAUUACAGUAUACCAUGAAUUUAGUUUCAAGACUAUAUUGAAGGCAGGAGAGAUAGCCUGGUGGUUAAGAGAACUUGUUCUUGCAGAGGACUCAGCAUCCACAAGACAGCUCACAAUGUUCACAACUCCAGGUCAGGGCAUCUGACACUUGCUUCUGACCUCCUCAGACACCAGGCCCACACAUGGUACACAGCUACACAGCAAAACACUCAUACACAUAAAAGGGAAACAAAAAACCAAUAUAUUGAUCUAAUUAGGUGUGAGGUGCAUGCCUUUAACCUCAGCACUUGGUUGGCUGAGGCAGGUGGAUUUCCUAAGUUUGAAGCCAGACAAGAAUUCAUAAGUGAGACCCUGUCUCCAAAAUACAUAUGUAUAUUUCUAGAGGUACAUUCAUGGGCCUUUUGUUUACUUUUUUACUAGAAAACAAAAAAUGUCAUUCACACUAUUUCCUUUUAUUCCUUUACUUACACCAGGAAACUGAAAAGGAAAUGUAUCUUUCAAAAAUGAUUUAUCCCAACUGAGUUUUUCAUGUAGCCUGGUAGGAUUGUACUAGUUAUUCUGUUAGUAUACACUCAAAUAUUUUAAGAUGACUAAUUUUUUUGAGUAAUGUUAAAUGAUGAAAUAAGAACUAAAUGGCCAUCUAAAAGCUAUUAGUACUGUUAUGAAAAAUAUCAGUUAGACAGGUAAGGUAAUCUGAGAAGAGCUCUAAACAUUAGAUCGAUGACCUGGAAGAAGAUGGCUUCUCUGCUUUCAGGAUCAUAUUUAAAACAUGAUCACUUCUGCCUCUAAUAGUCUAGAUUAUCAAACUAUUUUGAAAUUGGUGUUUGGUUUUCUUUAAUCUAUUAGAAAAGUAACGUGGAGGGUGCUUUAAAAUACAGCUUUGAAGACACUGGUACUAUAACAAUAAUUCAUAAAGUUAAGGGAAGUCAAUCCGGUAUUAUUAUAAACAAGGUCAUUCAGAUGUGUGCAGGUACACACGUGUACAUGCAUGAGGUCAGAGGACUGCUAAUGGGAGUGAGUUUGCUCCAUCCACUGUGGAUUCUGAGGCUUGAGCUCGAGUCACCGAGUCCAACAGCAAGCUUUGCCCACCGAGCUACCUCAGCAGCCCAGGCAUGAUCUUUUCCUGACUCCUCCUGCACUCAGGUUUUGCUUCUUGCUCUAGAAUUCUACCAUUGGUGGGAACUGUGGCCACUCCAUCACCCUCUCAUCAAAGGCCUGUCUAUGGCUGAAUCUAGAAAGCCCC